UUAGGGUUUGAUCAUGGCUCAGGUUGAACGCUGGCGGCGUGCCUAACACAUGCAAGUCGAGCGGUAACAGGUGUAGCAAUACAUGCUGACGAGCGGCGGACGGGUGAGUAACGCUUGGGAAUCUGCCUGAUAGUGGGGGACAACCCGGGGAAACUCGGGCUAAUACCGCAUACGCACUACGGUGGAAAGCCGGGGACCGCAAGGCCUGGCGCUAUCAGAUGAGCCCAAGUCGGAUUAGCUAGUUGGUAGGGUAACGGCCUACCAAGGCGACGAUCCGUAACUGGUCUGAGAGGACGACCAGUCACACCGGAACUGAGACACGGUCCGGACUCCUACGGGAGGCAGCAGUGGGGAAUAUUGGACAAUGGGCGAAAGCCUGAUCCAGCGACGCCGCGUGGGUGAAGAAGGCCUGCGGGUUGUAAAGCCCUUUCGGUGGGGAAGAAAAGCCUCGAGCUAAUACCUCGGGGUCUUGACGUAACCCAUAGAAGAAGCACCGGCUAACUCUGUGCCAGCAGCCGCGGUAAUACAGAGGGUGCGAGCGUUAAUCGGAAUUACUGGGCGUAAAGCGCGCGUAGGCGGCUUUGCAAGUCGGGUGUGAAAUCCCCAGGCUUAACCUGGGAACUGCAUUCGAGACUGCAUUGCUAGAGUAUGGGAGAGGGAAGUGGAAUUUCCGGUGUAGCGGUGAAAUGCGUAGAUAUCGGAAGGAACAUCAGUGGCGAAAGCGACUUCCUGGACCAAUACUGACGCUCAUGUGCGAAAGCGUGGGGAGCAAACAGGAUUA
rnacentral:rRNA from 1 species